GCCGGGUGUGGUGGCGUGUGCCUGUAAUCCCAGCUACUUGGGAGGCUGAGGCAGGAGAAUCGCUUGAACCUAGGAGGCGAAGGUUGUGGUGAGCCAAGAUUGGGCCACUGCACUCCAGCCUGGGUGACAGAGUGAGACUCUGUCUCAA
rfam:Gorilla gorilla gorilla genomic chromosome, chr7, whole genome shotgun sequence